ensembl:lncRNA
GGAGCAACUCCACCUCUGCCACCAGUGAACCCGCCUCUGCGACCCCCAAUGACUCCACCUCUGUGUCCAGGGAACCCGCCUCUGCGACCCCCAAUGACUCCACCUCUGUGUCCAGUGAACCCGCCUCUGCGACCCCCAAUGACUCCACCUCUGUGUCCAGGGAACCCGCCUCUGCGACCCCCCAAUGACUCCAACUCUGUGUCCAGGGAACCCGCCUCUGCGACCCCCAAUGACUCCAACUCUGAGAUCAGUGAACCCACCUCUGCAACCCCCAAUGACUCCAACUCUGUGUCCAGGGAACCCGCCUCUGCGACCCCCAAUGACUCCAACUCUGUGUCCAGGGAACCCGCCUCUGCGACCCCCAAUGACUCCAACUCUGUGAUCAGUGAACCCACCUCUGCGACCCCCAGUGAACCCAAUAUUCCAAAUGUGUUCUACAGGCCAAUAAAAAGAAAGCAGAGACAAACACUUAAUGAAUGCUCACAUAACAGCCAGGAUGUGUACCAUGGAGAGGUUGUGAGGGAGAGAGUUAGGGAGGGAAGAAAAGAAUAUCUUUUUCGUUGGCAGCCUUGCACAUCCUGGUAAGUAUAGACAUAUAUUUGGUAGCUUAUUUAACCUUAUUGUUUCCUAAGAAAUUGUACUUAUCCAUGAACUUUAUGGUCAGUUUGACCUUUAUACCUUUAAUUAUAUAAAAAAAUCAUGUUUGGUAAAUGAGGGUAAGAUCCCCCUCCCCCAACACUCUUUUUUAUGGCAAUUAAAAGCAUUUUGAUAUUUAAAAAGUUAAUAAAAUUCUGAUUGGUUAUUGAUAUAACACUGUUAGUGUGAAAUUUAAGGAUGUUUGUUGUUCAUAGGUCAUGACUACUUCAUUUUCAUUUCUGUUUAGUUUUACAAACUAAAAACAGCAAUAAAGAACAAGCUAUAUAUUUUUUUUCAUUAUUAUGUAUAAAUUGGUAUUAAUUUAAAAUAUCACAUAUGAAGGAAUUGAUACCUCUUUCAUCUGAUCAUGAAGCCCCACUCACUGUUAACUAUUCAUGGCAUUUGAAGCAUUAAGAAAUGUUACUAAGAAUGUAAUUAGUGAUAACAUGAUAUGUGAGAGAUUGCACACCAUCAUUUUUGAGGCAAUGUUUGGUGUAUUUUUCCAUUAUUAUUAUUAUUAUUAUUAUUAUUAUUAUUAAUUUGCAUUACUUAAGAUUUUUAUCCAAACUGAAGGGACUGUUUUUAAAUGCAUUUAUAACUGAGACAGUCUACAAUGAGAGUCUACUUCAAAAUCACAUCGUAUGUGUGUGUGUAUGUAUGUAUGUGUGCGUAUAUAAAAUAUAUGCAUAUGUGGAUGUAUGUAUACAUAUGUAUAUGUACAGUAUGUAUGUAUAUAUGUAUUUUAUUAUGUAAACAUUUUUAUAUAUAAAAACAACAAAGUUUUUAAACAAAAAGCAGUCUACACCAAACUCUAUCAGCAUACUGCAGCUCAUGGCUUUAGAAGUGAUGCUUCACAAGUCCCAGCAGCAUCAGUUAUGUGCCCAGCAACUUAUUCCUGCUUCAGAUGUAAUACAUAGCAACCCUGAGUGGCAGUGCUGUACAAAAUCCUAUUUACUUGACAGAUUUAUAGGUGUAUAGAACCAAUAAUAUGAAAAAAAGGCAUUUCUGUAUCUGAAUGAAAUAUUGACGCUUUUAAACCAGUUUACAAAAAAAAGUAAACAAACAUGAAAUCAAAUUCUAAUUUUUUUCCAAUUUAAACUAAACUAAAAACUAAACUAAACUAAACUUCCCAAAUAGGAAAUUAAAUGGUCAAACCUUACACUGUUUGGGCACAUAUUUUUGGCAAAAAUACUGUCUUUUUCUUCAUAGUGGCAAGAAGUGGAGGAGUACAUGGGUGUCCGAGGAUGCUGUACAGUAGUUAUUAAAAUAUUUGUGUCUGUUUAAAAAUUAUACUCAUUUGACUUGUCAAUACCAUGAAAUAAAAAAAGAAAGUAUGUGUACUAAUUGUGCUUUUUAUGAAUUUGUUUUAACAGAUCAUUUUAUGUGAAAAAUUAUGCAUGACUCUGUAAAUCUUGCAGAACAGCAAAGCAUAAAAACAACUUCUCUAUCACACAAUACAUCCUACAAUGAAGUGUUGUAUUAUAAAAAUAAAGUGAGAUUAAUG